AUGAACGCUGGCGGCGUGCCUAAUACAUGCAAGUCGAGCGAACAGACGAGGAGCUUGCUCCUCUGACGUUAGCGGCGGACGGGUGAGUAACACGUGGAUAACCUACCUAUAAGACUGGGAUAACUUCGGGAAACCGGAGCUAAUACCGGAUAAUAUAUUGAACCGCAUGGUUCAAUAGUGAAAGACGGUUUUGCUGUCACUUAUAGAUGGAUCCGCGCCGCAUUAGCUAGUUGGUAAGGUAACGGCUUACCAAGGCAACGAUGCGUAGCCGACCUGAGAGGGUGAUCGGCCACACUGGAACUGAGAGACGGUCCAGACUCCUACGGGAGGCAGCAGUAGGGAAUCUUCCGCAAUGGGCGAAAGCUUGACGGAGCAACGCCGCGUGAGUGAUGAAGGUCUUCGGAUCGUAAAACUCUGUUAUUAGGGAAGAACAAAUGUGUAAGUAACUAUGCACGUCUUGACGGUACCUAAUCAGAAAGCCACGGCUAACUACGUG
rnacentral:rRNA from 1 species